ACUCUGUAUAUGCACACAUUCUUCUUCCUUAUUCUAGAACCAACCCAUCAAACAGCUCGCUUCUUCUUCUCUGCUUCUACCUCAUACUGCUCUUCAAUUCAGAUUGUCGUUCUUUUGUUCGAGUUUGCCCUCGGUGUUGCUGUAAUUCAAUUCAGAUUGUCGUUCUUUUGUUCGAGUUUGCCCUCGGUGUUGCUGUAUUUCGGUGGUACUGUAAGUUGAUUUCACCGUCGACUUCAAUAAAUUAAUUCGUUUCUAUUGAUAUGCAAUGGGAAAUUCCUUCUAAAUUGGUUCAAUCUAUGCAAUUCUUUACAUUUUACAAGUAGAUGACACUCAAUGAGUCAAUGUGACGCCAUAUUCAUGUUGUGUACUUUUAGGAAUGGGUUUUUUCAUUUAAAAUGUUUUUUUUUGGGUUUUGGAAUUAGGGUUAGCUAAGAGUGUGUCUAUUUUAUUCUUCAUAUGAUCUAGAAGAACUGUUGGAUUUUUCUUCAGAAUUGGUUCAAGAAAAUUGUUUGUUAAGACGAAAGUAAGUUCCUUUAAAGCAUAAAUUUUUAGUAGUAAUCACAAGAAUUUGGCUUGAUAAAAUUUUCAAUACAUUGUCCAUCAUCUAUGCACCAUAGCUCGGCAUCCAUUGUGCUUAUAUUUUUGAAUUGAUAUGAUAUGGCUUCAAUUAAGCAGGGUGGCAAAGAAACUAAUAUGAGUUUAGUCAUGUUUUGGAUUAUAUGAACUAGGAAGGCCCAGUGGUAUUAUUAUCCCUCUUUUAUCCUAUGUAAUUCUUGAACUGCUAAGUUGGCUCCGACCAUUUGAGAAAAUUGCUUGACCUAUUUAUCGAAAGAUGAUUAUUUUGGUAGAAAUAGAAUUAAAAUCAGAUUAGCUGAUGAAAACAUUACCUAGAUUUUAAUCCUUGAAUACUUUACUUCAGUGUUACAGGAAUUGUUUUUGAGCAGAAGAUAUUAAGCAAAACCAAUUAAUGCACACCAUAGUUUCAUGUGUUUUUCCCAAAAUGAUCAGUUGUGCAUUUCUCUCAAAGAACUGCAAUCAGCCAUACUACAAAGACGGUUGGUGAAUCUCUCAUAGAUGCAUUCCAAAAUCAAGACAGGCAAGUCCAGUCCUAAUGCUCAUUAUGGUUUGAAUACGAAGACUAAUUGAGAAGCGCUAAUUGAGUUGAAACAUCAAAGGGACCAUAUAUAUUUUAACCUGCAAACGUUUUUGAAACACCUGUUGUAGGAGAGUGACUUUUGAGGAUGGAAUGCUAUGUGGGCUGUUAUGACAGUUGAAGUAGUAUUUGAGUUCACUCUAGGUUCUACACUUUAUAAGUGUGUAAAUAGAGCUAUAGCGACAUGUCUCGCUGGAUCUCUAGGAAUUGGUGUUCAUAGGUUGGAAGUCCAUCUGGAGAAAGAUUUGAACCUGUUAUUCUCCAAGCUUAAGUCUUCGUCUUAGGUACUAAGCUUGGAAAAUUGGGGUGCAACUGAUGGAAAGCAUAGCAAUAUUAUGUUAGGAGCUAUAUGUGCUCUUAAGAAAGCACCAUCCAUUCUCCCUCCCUGCUAUCUGAGGUGCUAUGGCCGAUGAAAAUAUGGAAAGAUGUUAUUUCUUCAUCCCUUGAUUUGUGUGAUAUAUUUAGGUGGAAGGCUUUGGACUGGAACUCUGAAAAGACGGCCUGGGUCACUCUUUAAUGUGGACACACCAGAAAUUGUUGUCUUGCGAUGAGUUGGAGCACGUAGAAGAGUUGCUUUAGGUGGAAGGCUUUGGACUGGCAACUCUGAAAAGACGGCCUGGGUCACUCUUUAAUGUGGACAAACCAGAAAUUGUUGUCUUGCGAUGAGUUGGAGCACGUAGAAGAGUUGCCAAGGUGGAAAGGGGCUAUCAAAACAUGAAAAGCUUCAAAAAAUGGCUUUAAAUAGUGUAUGGCAGACUAAGCAUUCAUUCUGUGCACAGUGCUUUUGAAGACUCUGUUGGCACAAAUUACAUAAGUUGGGGAUAUGUAACAAGGAAUUGCUCCAAAGAUCUGGAACCUUACUCAGGUUGAUUGGUGAUACAUUACCCUAUGGUGUCGAAGCUGAUAAAAAGAGAAUGUAGAGUUAACCAUAGAACUUGAUGACGAUAUUGACUGAAGCUUUUCCCGCUUUCCUGAAGAAAAUGGAACAGUGUUGCACAUUUUGAGAGAUCUGCCAUGUUACACACCGCCAUUUUAUGCAGUCAACUGGUAUAUUCUUAUCGUUUAAAAUCUGCAUUAUUUAUACUCAAGUUAUCUUUUUGACAUAUCCAUUCAAAAGCUUAUUUGUGAAGCUGCUUUAUCUAGAGCAAAAAUUAAGAGUAGAGAUACACUGGUUUAAGAAGGAAUCAGAUUCCCGUUGCAUCUUUGAUUGUAGUUAUUAGUGUUUUGGCCUUUAAUGACAUUAAUCACUUGAAUAAUUUGCAGUUAUUGAAAAUUUUCUUUUAUUUGUCAUCCUACGUAGCAGUCAAUUUUCAUAUCCAUUCAUCUCUGUUGUUGGCUGCUUAAAGGGGCUAUUCGUACAUUCAAUUCAUGUCAAGAAAAUGUCUGUGAAUUGCUUUCGUGAAAUGUUUCAGUAGGUUAGUCUAUUCUUCAAGAGUCUCAUCGUGGUUCUCUCCUUCUAAUGCUGUGUAUAUUGAUCCACUACUCUAAGUUAAAAUACAUAAAUUAACAUCGAGUCGAGUGAUGCCUAGCUCUCCAAAGACCUGCUUUGCCGCAGGGGGAUGCGAGUUCAUGAAGGAUCUGGAGGCAAAGCUGCCAACAUUUUUGAAAGCCUGAACUUCCAACAUUGCCAAAACUAGAGAUGCCCUGCUAUUCCUAAGCCUUGAAUGCAAAAUGUAUAAAAUCCUCUGCCCCAUGAUGGAAGCAACAUUGUCGAAAUAUUACACUUUAAUGUAUUAUGUGAUCAUAUGUUUUUCUUUUGUUAUGCUAAAAUCAUUUGCAGCUUCCCUUUUUGAAGGUUUAUUUGUAUGAUUUUUCUGUCAUCAGAGCAACCUCCUUUCGGCAGAAAUAUUGAUGUGAUUGUUCAAUCAUCAGUUAUUUCUGGCGUUACACGUA